AUGGUCCAGACAGAAGGAGGAAGGGCAGAGCAAUCUUGCGGAAUGCGACCGCAUUGGCUUGGUGCCUGGCAGGGGAUUUCCUUCAGCAGAAACUCACCAGGAAGCAUGACCGAAUGCCCAGAGCUCAGGGAAAGGCUGGCCUUUCCUUCUCGAAAACCCUAUCCAACAACUGAAGGAGGAAAUGGACGCCUCCCGCUACAGGUGGCAAAUUGGGCUGAUGCGGGAGCCACAGAGGAAGGGUUUACCCUGCACAGAGAGCAUCUUCUGAAUCAGCCUUUUGUGAAGCAUAAUCCAAGGACCCCUGGAAAUUCCCAAGACUCUCAGAGAUUCUGCAAGACCCUCCUUUACACAAUUACAUAUCUGUGCGAGGUGGAAUUUUCUUCACGUGCUUCAACCAAACAACAUAUUGUAGCAUUCUGAGGGCAGAAGCAGGUUCAGUGAUACAGCUAUCUUCUGGGCAACCAGAUUUUAAAGAGAUUUGCAAAAAUAAAACAAUGCCCCUUCUCACUAUUUUUGGGAAAUACAGUUUUUCUUUCAAUACAUUUUUAUAUUAACAUGUAAUGGGUUUAAUUAUGGUUAUUUUAAAUGAACUAAUACAUAUUUAAAUAAUUCUUUUAGCUUUAAUUUUUAAUACAGUAAAUAUAAUGGAUAAAACCUAUGUAAACAAAAUUACUUUGGUGUCCUCGAUAACUUUUAAAUGUGUAAAGAAGUUUUGAAAACAACUAUCCUAGUUAUCUCUUCCAGUGCAUUGAUGGAUAUUUUUGUGCCUUAAAAAUUAAUGAUUUUUUUGAAGCAUCUUAAAUGUCCCUCAACUAUACUGGAUAAUAAAUCAUGAUAUAUUCAUACAGUGAAAUACUAUACAGCAAUGAAUAUGAAUAAGCUACACACAAUUAUAUGUUGAGUGAAAGAAGUCAGGCAUAAGAGCAUACAUAUUCUAGUUUUAAAAACUGGCAUACUAGAGUGUUCUUCUGUUCAGGCAAUCUGGGACAUUUUAAUCAUCUGGUUCUUAAUUUCCUUCUUGACCAUAAAGGAGGGUAAAUAGUGCCCUAGGUGUGCUGUGGGGUUAAAUGAAAUG
rnacentral:lncRNA from 1 species